rnacentral:lncRNA from 10 species
AGGAAUGUUGGUGCUCCCAGCACCUAGCACCGGGAGACUGGAGAGGUUUCCAGGAGAGUGACCCGAGUAGGUCCCCUCCUAAUUCUGGAGCCGUCCCUCGGGCUGCGCAGUGGAGCGCCGAGGUGGCGGGAGGCUGCGGGGAGCCUGGGCGGCCAAGCACCAUCUGCAGUCAGGAGCUCCCGGGCAGCUUGCAGGGCGCAGUUUUUGAAAGCGGGUGCUGCGUGCGGACCGCGGGCCUGCAGGGUCGGCACCAUGCGCCCUGCAGCCCUGCGCGGGGCCCUGCUGGGCUGCCUCUGCCUGGCGUUGCUUUGCCUGGGCGGUGCGGACAAGCGCCUGCGUGUGCUUCUAAAAUUGGGGAUAAAACCAUCCAUCAAUUACUACCAAGUAAGUCUUGCUUUUGCUUCUUUUCUCGUGUGUCUCUCCCGGGGACCUCCAGUAGGGCCGUUUCAGCCUCUGAGUCAAUGGGCUGUAAAUUGCCCCAGUGCAAACCCCCUUCCUACUUAAAUGUUAUCAUGUGAACAGAUUUUAUUUGCAUUUUAUUUUCCUGCGCAUGUUGAGUAGGAGCUGAAGGCUGCUUAGACCAGUGAUUUGGAAGCACAGAUUUCAUGGCUCCCUUUGUGAGAAGUGUGUGCUCCAGGGUCCGGCAGAGCAGGUGGAAUCUGCAGUUUCAAGAGUCACAUUCACUUUUAUAACGUAGUCUUAUAUUUGUUUGUGGUUUGUUUUCAUGAUAAAAUUGUGAUUUGUUUUAUGAUAAAAGAAACUAUAGAUAUUUAAGCAUGACAAGAUGUUAUUAGCUGGUAAGCAUAUACAAAAAGUUGCUUUUUGCCAGGUGUGGUGACUCACGCCUAUAAAUCCCAGGACCUUGGGAGGCUCAGGCUGGAGGAUUGCUUGUGGCUAGAAUUUCGAGACCAGCCUGGGCAGCAGAGUGAGACCUCUAGAAAGAAGUAAAAGUAGCUGAGCAUGAUAGUAUGUGUCUGUGGUCUCAGCUAUUCAGGAAGCUAAGGUCAGAGGAUUGCCUGCGCCCAGGAAUUUGAGGCUGCAGUGAGCCAUGGUCGCCCCACUGCACUCCAGUCUGGGCGACAGCCAGAUCACGUCUCUUU